rnacentral:rRNA from 1 species
AGAGCGAACGCUGGCGGCAGGCCUAAUACAUGCAAGUCGAACGAACCCUUCGGGGUUAGUGGCGGACGGGUGAGUAACACGUGGGAACGUGCCCUUUGGUUCGGAACAACUCAGGGAAACUUGAGCUAAUACCGAAUGUGCCCUUCGGGGGAAAGAUUUAUCGCCAUUGGAGCGGCCCGCGUCUGAUUAGCUAGUUGGUGGGUAAAGGCCCACCAAGGCUACGAUCAGUAGCUGGUCUGAGAGGAUGAUCAGCCACACUGGGACUGAGACACGGCCCAGACUCCUACGGGAGGCAGCAGUAGGGAAUCGUUGCGCAAUGGGCGAAAGCCUGACGCAGCCAUGCCGCGUGAAUGAUGAAGGUCUUAGGAUUGUAAAAUUCUUUCAGCGGGGACGAUAAUGACGGUACCCGCAGAAGAAGCCCGGCUAACUUCGUGCCAGCAGCCGC